rnacentral:rRNA from 1 species
GUGGGGAAUCUUCCGCAAUGGACGAAAGUCUGACGGAGCGACGCCGCGUGAGUGAAGAAGGCCUUCGGGUCGUAAAGCUCUGUCAUCAGGGACGAACGGCCGGUGGAGUGGAAAGCCACCGGAUUGACGGUACCUGAGAAGGAAGCCACGGCUAACUACGUGCCAGCAGCCGCGGUAAUACGUAGGUGGCAAGCGUUGUCCGGAAUUAUUGGGCGUAAAGCGCGCGCAGGUGGGAUCUUAAGUCCAUUUUGAAAGUUCGGAGCUCAACUCCGUGAUGGGAUGGAAACUGGGAUUCUUGAGUACCGGAGAGGAAAGCGGAAUUCCCCGUGUAGCGGUGAAAUGCGUAGAUAUGGAGAGGAACACCAGUGGCGAAGGCGGCUUUCUGGACGGUGUCUGACACUGAGGCGCGAAAGCUAGGGGAGCGAACGGGAUUAGAUACCCUGGUAGUCC